ACUACUGGAGACUGGCCGUGCCUUAAUGUCGCGUGUUUACUCGAACGUCCUGCUAAUCAGCCGAAUGGAAAUAACGUAUAGGUAGAUAUGUACGCGUACAUAUAAUAUUAUCUAGUUUAACGCAUGUACUCAGCUGUAUUACAUUGUCCUGCGUGUAUUCUUAUUGUCUUCAAAGAAAGACGGGUUUUAGAAAGUGACCCAUAGGUCUAAUUGACAAUAAAAUUAUAGGGGGAAAAGAGUCUCGGCGUGUACGUAUACAUAUAUUACGUGUACAAGUAUUUUAAAUCUAUAAUCGUGAGAUGAGACCAAAAUAAAUCUGCCACACAGAUAUCUAUAUUGAUAUAUAUAUUACAUUUACCAGUUUUCAAAGUUUAAAAUAAUAUCAGAAUUCGGAGCGCCGCGCAUCAGAUAUAUAUAUAUUAAUUAUGGUAGUUAUUCAUCAGUCCCUGAAAUAGCUUGUUAUACCGUGUGUGUGUGUACAUACAUAUAUCAAUGUAUAUAUGUAUAUGUACCUGGUAUACUGCAGUGAGACUGGAAAAUAACCGCGUAUCCAUGACCGCUCAGGAAACAGGUAUAUUAUCCUUUGUCUCACGUAGUUCGCGUGAUAAUCGCAUGUAUAAAAUUGCAAAUGAAAUAAUUGUCCUUGUACAGUAAUAUAUGAUAGACGAAGUCCUAGGUUUAAUUAUUUCAAAGUAGAGACAAGUGUCGUUAUAAUAUUAUUUUAUACGCGUUUAAACCAUGAAUAAAUUUGCAAGACGCCCGGAAAAAAGAAAGGUAACUAGUCGCAAUAGUCAACGAUGAUCGAACACCGUUUAAAUUCAAAUGAAGAACCAAAAGAAUAUCGAACUCUCUCUAUCUCUAGGCGUGGCGCAGCGGCCAUUUUGGUGUAACGGUGCAAAUCGCCGGCGGUUUCCGGCAAAGACAAAAUUACGAAAUCAAAAACUAUUGGUAUCGAAUGUGUAUAAAAAAUGAAUUUGCGUUAUGUACUUUCCAAAUAUUCAUGAAAACCAAUCUGUAUUAAUGUCCGAAUGUAAAAGAUCUAUUAUGUAAUCGAAAUCCUACGAAUUUUCAGAAUAUAAGGGAGAAAAACCGGAUAGAAUCGAGGAGUGAAAAAGAAGCUAUUCAAGGAGGAUAUUUACCGUGACAGCCGUUGCGGUGCCGAUGGCGAUAAGUAACACAAGUAACUUGAUCAUUUUUGCAAAUAAAAAAUAUUCGUUUGUUACAGAAAAAAAAAAUUGGCUCAAAAAUUAUGAAUUACGAUUCCGUUUACUUUGGAGGUUGGCUAAGAACUGACUCAACUGAACGAACGGGACGCGAGAGCUGACGAGACUCGUUCGCGAGUAUGUACAUUAUACGCUUUGAAACAGGCUGAAUAAACGUGUGUAUAGCAUAGAAUGGUCGUACCUACAGUAUAAAUAUGUACAUGUACGUGUACAUAAGUAUGUUGAUACAAAGGAAAGGCCGUGGAUUCCUUGGUCAGAUAAUGGUGGGGGGAAAAAUUUCGUAUCGGCGAAGAGCAUGAAGAGAACGAGCGAACGAACGGACGAUGAUGCCGGCUGGUAAACACGCAAAGCACGCUAUGUAUUCGUAUCUAUAUAUGUAUUUGUAUUUACUAGAUGGGUGUAGAUACGUAUAUACACCUCACAUACACCAGAGUAAACGCUUUGGCUUUCUGUACCACCGAGCUUGACGGACAUACACGUAUACGUGUGUGUGUGUGUGUGUGUGUGUGUGUGUGUGUAACGUACCUAGGCAUACGGGUUUGAUUCUGAAAGUGUUCAUCACGAAUCAUACAUACCAAUCUAGCAAUAGCCAUACCCAUAUUCCCGAAGAGUUUCAGAAUCGGAACAUCUAAGCGCACCUCUAUAUAUACCUGCACACUAACCUGACCGCGUGGGGCUAUGUCAGGUAUAUAAAAAGAAGUAAAAUAAGACGAUGGAAACUAUAUGGAACUUGAAAGAGCUGAUGAGAACUCGACGCCGAACGUAACAACUAUCUCUCUACCUUUAACGGUUUCUUGCUCCGUAAGUUUCGAGGAACAUGUACACGGGUAUAUAUGUAGAUACGAUACAUUAUAUAUUGCGUGCGGACGAUUUGGAACACGGGAAUUAGUUUUUAGGACCUUUUGGGACACGGUCAAAUUUUUUUUUUCCUCUCAGGCUACUUAUAAUAUUGCACGGGCUACGCCCGGAGGAUCUCCACUUCAGCGACGGUGUUUGAUUUUUAAAAUUCAAACGCGUUUUAUACGCGGGGCCAAUAUUAUUAUACCGUAUAAAUUAUCGGGCCGCUUUUAGUCACGUAAUACGGUAUUUUUGGUUUCGGCGAAAUCUUUUUACGAUUCCUAAAUUUGAACUACCGCUGACCAUGUAUUAGUUACGUAAAAUUUUUUUAAAAUAUCGUACCAACCAGUUAUGGAUUAUUCGCAUCUUCGUUCUUAAGUAUAUAUAUAUGUAUAUUUUUUUUUCUUCACUUCUUUCUUUCCUCUCCAGUUUACACUUACUCGAGAAUUAAAUUAAUAUAGCUCUAUGUGCUAUAGGUUGAAAUUAGCUUCUUACACCGCUGCAUAUUUUCACGAUUCUAUGUGGGUGUGAGACUAUGCCGCGUAACAAUAGUACAUCGUUUAUUAUUAUACACUCAUGUACUGGCGAUUCACAUUUGCUCACACGUAACUAAACAUUCUAUACUUCUUUAUGUCUGUCCAACUAUUGGCAUAAUAUAAUGGACGUUUCCUCUGAUGAAAAUUACAUGAAAAAUUGUUACAGAGCAUUCGCAAAUUUAAAUGUGCGGUUUAAAUAUACAUAUAAUGUGAUGUGUGAUCGUACAGCAGACGAAAUUAAUUCUGCGUGAAAAUAAUUAUACUAUAAAUACCAUGUUCACUUUAAUCGUGACAAAUUCUCGUUUAUGAAGAAAAGAAGGAAAAAGGAAAUGAAAAAAAAUCCCAUCAGCGUAAUUAAAAUGUAUAUAUUCGUCCGACUGAUGCUGAGUUUCGUGAAAUAUAAAUAUUCGGGAUAGUAUAUAUGUUGUAUUUUAAACUCUGAGAAAUUCAGAAUGGACUUGAACCGAUAGGCUUCGCUGGGGUAUCAGAUUUCGAUUCGUUGCUUCAAUACAUUAUGAAUAAACUUUUUUUAUCGCUGACGUUUACCGGUAAUAACUCAUCGUUUGUGUGAUUUUUGUUACGCAUAUAACUUGAGAAAUCAAUGUCCAUAAUGCGGGAAGAAAAUGCGAUAUGCGGUAUGUAUUUAUCUGCAGCAAAGAAUUGUGAUAAACUGCCGCAGCUUAUGUAUCAUGCCGCGAGCAUAAUAAUAUAAUCAUUGGCGGAGAUUAGGUCCUGUAGAAUUGCCCGGAAGUGUUGGUGACAACUUGAAAUCCAUAUACACGUUUCAUAAGUAUACUCGUGCGAAUACCUAUGUAUGAAUCUGGGAGUUUGUUCAAUUAUUUCAAUGUAGGUACAAUCAUAGAUGUACAAUAAUUGUCAAUUCAACUCUUUGACUCAUAAAUUAUUAUAACGAAAGCUUCAAUUGCUACUGUAGCGCUGUACGGUUGGAUAUAAAAAAAUUAGAUCAAUUGCAACCGACUGUAUGGAAGAAUUUUUGCCGCGCCCAUUUUCCUUUAUUAUACAUAUACACUAGACUAUCCAACUAUAGCUACCUAUGUAAUAUCUUCUCUCGACGUGAAACUAUCAUAAAAAUUAUCCUGUAGCCAUUAUAUUUGUGAAGUUAAUUAAUUUUGUUACUUCGUUUAAAAACUUCAGACUUGAAAUUUUGGAACAUUUUUAAAUUAAACGACUCUCCCUAAUGGACAAUGUGCGUGUGGGAGUACGUACACCCCAUUAAAUUGAGAUCAAACAAAAAUAUUUCAGUUUGAAUUCAAAAGUGCCAAGUAACAAUGGAGAGGAAACUUUCAACUAUGAUCGGUAGAAAUGGCUUCGGAGAAAACUGAGGCGAAGGUAUGAUAACUCACGAUCAAUAUUAUUUUUCGUUAACAAUUUUGAAUAAAAUUGCGAGUAGAAAAAUACAGUUAUAAGGAAGGGAGAUUAAUGUGUGUCCCGCUAAGUGAACUCGGUGGUAAUAGCGUCGUUGGUAAAUGAUACACGUAUAUUAAAAUUUUAAGAAAAGAAGCUAUGUACAGAGAUAUGGAAUUCGGAGAGGUACUGAUAUUGAUAAAGAUUUAUUGCCUAAGUAUGCUUUGCAAAAAAAAUCAAUGAAUAAAUAACACAUUCUGGCCACAAAUUGCAUUUACUGUUAUUUAUUUGCUAUAAAACUUAACUUUUUGAAAUCAUCAAAGUACCAAAAAAUGUAACCCAGCUUCACCAUCCCAGGUUUUUCCCCAAUUUUUUCGUGAUUAUUUCCCAUUUUUCCCGAUUUAUUUUCGAUCUUUUAAUGAAUUGUUCAAUUACCCCAUCCAUCCCGCCGAAAAAGCGACAGGCAGCGCCGAGUAGUUUAACAUCAGCCCGCGGCACUUGCCUGAACUAAAAUUCCAAGUUUCUUGCCCCUUGACUCACCGAGACCCGCCUUACAGCGGAGGGGUCGCGUGUAAUGCGGGUGCAUCUAUCAUCAGGCGCUUUGGUCGCGGACCCGCGUGUAAUGCGGGAGUGCAUAUCGCUAGGCGCAUUGAGGGGCUGGGGAAGAUGCGGCGAUUAAAUAAUUAAUGCACUCGAAAUAUCUAUGAAUUGAUUAAAGAAUCGGAUUGCAUCAUAGAUAUAUCAAACAAUAUAUAUUGAAUAAUUUAAUAUAUUGAAUUGAAUAUAUUGAAUAAUAUAUAUUGUUCAAUAUAUCUAUGAUUGGAUCUAGAAAUCAACUCGAGUUCGUGUCACUCUACCUGCAUAUCAUUGCAGGGAAUGAAGGUCUAUUAAUUAAUUGAAAAUCGAGUAAGAAAUAGAUAAUGACAUGAUGAUGACAAAGCAGUGAUUCUUUAUAGGAAGCGAGGGUCUAAUUACAAAUUUUAACAACGAUUUCAUUUCGAAUAUCUUCGUGUCAAAUGAUGGAGACGAGAAGGAGUGAACCCGUGGGCCCUUACUUUCAAUUGAAACGUCUGGAAUUAUACAAGUAACCAUUCCAAUUCCGUUAGUGUUAAUCUACCUGUUGCAAUCUCUGAUACUUCUAUCCUUUGUAGUGGGCAGGUUGAAGUUCUCCUCCAAAAUGCCUCGGCUUGAUAUAGGCAAGUCUUUUAUUUCAAAUACAGAGAUGCUCUAGUCAUACGAUCGUGGCCCAUCUCAGAAAAGGAAACUGCGGCGAUGAGGUUGUACUAGAGGAAAAAUUGCCACCUCUCCCUCAACUUGCGGAUUCGACUCGCAAAAUCCUAAAUGAAGGAUGAUGAACCGAUUUCUGUGUGCUAUUUAUCCGGUAUCAGCCCUUUCUGACGAGCAUCUCCUUACCUGCAACAAGAAGUGUGCUUACACCCGCCGGUUCACAAUUUGCAAAAUAAUUAUCAUACAUAUACAUAGCGUCGAAUAGUGAUGUAUACAAAUGAGUCCUUAUGCAAUAUAUUCAUAAGUUGUAUUCUCUCAAAUAACUGGGGCAAUAUUUUAAUAUUGAUAUGAACAUUAUUCAUGUUGUCAAUGAUAUUGCAAAGUUUUGGAUAAUUAUUCAAAUAAUGUAUGUAUGCUGAAUGUAUUCCACCUGCAUACCUCAUGAAUAAAUGACAAGCUAU